UUAACCGUGAGGUUUGGUGCUUAGGAAACCAGUAGCCUCUUUGCUCAAUUAAGGCGAGCUGAUGAACAACAACAUCAUAUUAGGCGUAGGCUGGAGGCGAGUUGUCACAAGACGACGAAGCCAUGUGAUACUUUUGGUUAGAGAGCAUGGCCACCGUAAAGAUGGGGUUGCUUACAGGGAUGUAAGU
rfam:Osedax symbiont Rs1 5221_218, whole genome shotgun sequence.